AUGANGGACUCACUCAGUUAUCCNGGAAUUACUGGGCGUAAANGGUGUCUAGGCGGUUGAGUAAGUCAUCUGUGAAAGCCCUCAGCUUAACUGAGGAACGUCAGGUGAAACUGCUUGGCUUGGGUGUAGGAGAGGAGAGUGGAACUCACAGAGUAGCGGUGGAAUGCGUAGAUACUGUGAGGUACCCCGAUGGCGAAGGCAACUCUCUGGCCUACUACCGACGCUGAAGCACGAAAGCGUGGGGAGCAAAGGGGAUUAGAUACCCCCGUAGUCCACGCCCUAAACGAUGUUCACUUGGUGUCGGUCGCACAUACAGAUCGGUGCCGGAGCUAACGUGUUAAGUGAACCGCCUGGGGAGUACGGUCGCAAGGCUAAAACUCAAGAGAAUUGACGGGUCCCCGCACAAGCGGUGGAGCACGUGGUUUAAUUCGAUGAUAAGCGAAGAACCUCACCUGGGCUUGACAUACUAGUAGUAGGAACCAGAAACGGUGACGACCCUGCCUUCGGGUAGGGAGCUAGUACAGGUGAUGCAUGGCUGUCGUCAGCUCGUGUCGUGGGACGUAGGGUUAAGUCCCGAAACGAGCGCAACCCCUGUUGUCAGUUACCAGCGGAUAAUGCCGGGGACUCUGACGAGACUGCUGGUGAAUAGCCGGAGGAAGGAGGGGAUGACGUCAAGUCAUCAUGUCCCUUAUGCCCAGGGCGACACACAUGCUACAA
rnacentral:rRNA from 1 species